rnacentral:lncRNA from 1 species
GAGAGCAACCACAACAAAUGCCCUGAAGGAGCCCACCAGCUUCAGGAAGGCAGCAUGAGGAUCAACAGAGCAACAUCCCAGGCUCCAGAUCUCUAGGGAAUCCAUUGCCUGGGCUGUCAUCAACCAAAGUGGAAAUGCCUGUUCAGAGAGCCUGUCCCUGCUUUGGCAAUGCUCUUCAGGUGUGUUAAAGGCUUUUGGACCUUGUUGUUUGGUUUCAGCACUGAUUCUUCAUCAGGUUUUCAAUAGAAGAGAAGGUGCAACCAGCCCAUUACUUGGUGGGAAAGGAGGUAACUGUUAAGCUAAUGGGAAGCAUCGGGCAUUCCUGACAUCUGGCAAAUCUUCAGCAAGAGGAAGACAGAAGAAGAGUGCAGAAAAAGACAGUGAGAGGACAUUACUUCCGAUGUUAGCUGGAGGAUAAGGUAUGCCAUUGAAACAUAGCAA